rnacentral:RNase_P_RNA from 1 species
CGGAGCGGUCCAAACGAUCGCUGGAUCAUUUUUUUGAUUCAGAGGAAAGUCCGAACACCGCAGGGCAGGGUGCUCCAUAACAUGGAGUCGCGGCAACGUGAAGGAAAGUGCAACAGAAAGUAUACCGCCCGGCGCUUGAUUUUCAUUUUAUGAAAAUUAAGCGUCUGGUAAGGGUGAAAAGGUGCGGUAAGAGCGCACCAGUUCUUCGGGUGACCGGAGAAGCUUUGUAAACCCCACCUGGUGCAAGACCAAAUAGAGGAGUGCUUGAGGAUUGCCCGUCCAAGCUCCUGGGUAGGUCGCAAGAGAUGUCGGAUAACCGGCAUCCUUAGAUGAAUGAUCGUUACCCGGUCCGGGGUAACCCGAACCGGGCACAGAAUUCGGCUUAUAGACCGCUCCGGCCG